UACGUAGGGUGCGAGCGUUAAUCGGAUUUACUGGGCGUAAAGCGAGCGCAGGUGGUUUAUUAAGUCUGGUGUAAAAGGCAGUGGCUCAACCAUUGUAUGCAUUGGAAACUGGUAGACUUGAGUGCAGGAGAGGAGAGUGGAAUUCCAUGUGUAGCGGUGAAAUGCGUAGAUAUAUGGAGGAACACCGGUGGCGAAAGCGGCUCUCUGGCCUGUAACUGACACUGAGGCUCGAAAGCGUGGGGAGCAAACAGG
rnacentral:rRNA from 1 species